UUCUGAAGGGCUCCGACAAAAACAUAAGUUCAUAGGAAAAUAUUAAAUAUGCAAGCUAUAAUAUAUGAUCUAAACGAUAUAUCUUUUUGCUGACCCUUAAAUAGUAUGCACCUGACAAAUCUUUUUUACAUGUUGACGCCCAUUAUUAUUUCCAUUUAGUUUUGACAGUUUUAAAUGCUGGUUAUAGUAUGUGAAUGGUAUAGACACACUAAAAUCAGUUUGAGUUAGAAUAAGGAAAUCAUCAAAAAAAUAUAAGCUAGUCAAAACCAGAUUUAAAAUUAUUUUGAAGUCUAAUUUAUUUGACAAAACGUCAUCGAAAUUGAGUAUGAAUUUAAUCUGAUUGGACAAGUUGCAAUGUUAAGUGGUGCACUGUGGUUUUGUGUACGUAAAAAAAGCUAAAAUCUAAUGUUUAACCCAGAGACAUCGUCAUUUUUUUUCUUUCUUUUUAUUUUCAAUUCCUCUGAGCAAGGGUAUAUAUACUGUUAUAAAGUAUAUCUGAUAAAUUCAACACCACACGAAAACAAACAGAAUGAAGUCGAUUUUAGUUCUUGCUGCAUUGCUUUCCAUGGCAAUAGCGACACCAUAUUAUGGUGGAUACAGAUGGCGAGGCGACUAUGGGGACGAGGACGACGGUUGGAGGUAUAGGGGCUUCGGUGGUUACAUACGUUAUGGAGGCGACAACGGAUAUGGAGAUAAUGGAGGAUACGGUCACGGUGGAGGAUAUGGGAUAAUGAUGGAUGGGGGGUACCCUGGAAGGUACAGACCUUACUGGCCAAAAGGGAAACCAUGGAAACAUUAUUAAAGACAAGGACGACAAAGUGAUCCACUUGGGGAAAACAACAACAACAACAGUUUUGUCUGAAAACUCGCACAGUUUAUUCUGAUCUAUGAUUUUUUUAUAUAAAAGAAGAAAAGAAUGUAAAUUGAUAUAGCGUUUUUAUAAAUAAAAUGAAUGGUUUAC